rnacentral:tRNA from 1 species
GCGGACGUAGCUCAAUGGUAGAGCGCCAGCUUCCCAAGCUGGACACGCGGGUUCGAUUCCCGUCGCCUGCUCCA